rnacentral:rRNA from 1 species
GGCGAUCAGAUACCGCCCUAGUUCUGACCGUAAACGAUGCCAACUAGCGAUCCGCCAGUCGACUCAUCGCUCUGGUGGGGAGCUUCCCGGAAACGAAAGUCUUCCGGUUCCGGGGGAAGUAUGGUUGCAAAGCUGAAACUUAAAGGAAUUGACGGAAGGGCACCACCAGGAGUGGAGCCUGCGGCUUAAUUUGACUCAGCACGGGGAAACUCACCCGGCCCGGACACCGUAAGGAUUGACAGAUUGAUAGCUUUUUCAUGAUUCGGUGGAUGGUGGUGCAUGGCCGUUCUUAGUUCGUGGAGCGAUUUGUCUGGUUUAUUCCGAUAACGAGCGAGACUCUGGCCUACUAAAUAGUUGGCGCAUUGCCACUGUGCGCACAACUUCUUAGAGGGAUUUUCGGUGUUUUCAACCGCACGAAAUUGAGCAAUAACAGGUCUGUGAUGCCCUUAGAUGUCCGGGGCUGCACGCGCGCUACACUGGCAAACGCAACGUGCCUGUCCUGCCCCGAAAGGAGCGGGUAAACCCCUGAAAUUUUGCCGUGAUUGGGAUCGGACAUUGCAACUAUUGUCCGUGAACGAGGAAUUCCUUGUAGGGGCGAGUCAUCAACUCGUCCCGAAUACGUCCCUGCCCUUUGUA